UACCUGGCGGCGUGCCUAUACAUGCAAGUCGAACGCUUUGUGGUUAACUGAUUUGAAGAGCUUGCUCAGAUAUGACGAUGGACAUUGCAAAGAGUGGCGAACGGGUGAGUAACACGUGGGAAACCUACCUCUUAGCAGGGGAUAACAUUUGGAAACAGAUGCUAAUACCGUAUAACAAUGACAACCGCAUGGUUGUUAUUUAAAAGAUGGUUCUGCUAUCACUAAGAGAUGGUCCCGCGGUGCAUUAGCUAGUUGGUAAGGUAAUGGCUUACCAAGGCGAUGAUGCAUAGCCGAGUUGAGAGACUGAUCGGCCACAAUGGGACUGAGACACGGCCCAUACUCCUACGGGAGGCAGCAGUAGGGAAUCUUCCACAAUGGGCGAAAGCCUGAUGGAGCAACGCCGCGUGUGUGAUGAAGGGUUUCGGCUCGUAAAACACUGUUGUAAGAGAAGAAUGACAUUGAGAGUAACUGUUCAAUGUGUGACGGUAUCUUACCAGAAAGGAACGGCUAAAUACGUGC
rnacentral:rRNA from 2 species